rnacentral:lncRNA from 1 species
AUCACCUGCUGGACCGCUCCUGGGAUGGCUCACGUGAACAUCUGGAUACUGAGGAGACGCUCUUCCAAAUAUUCUAAUGUGGCACUAAGAGGUUUGUUUGGUUGGCUCUGCCAGGAUGGGACAUCCCUGAUAAUGAUGUGGCCAUCUGCUAUGACUGUUAUAUGUCCCCCCAAAAUUCAGGUGUUACCAAAGUGAUAGUAUCAAGAAGCAGGGUAUUUAAGAAGGGAUUGGGCCAGAAGGGUACCUCCCUCAGGAAUAGAAUUGAGCCCUUACAAGAGGCUUCACACAGCAUGUGGCUGGCUUGCCCUUCCAGCUGCCACUACUCCAGCACUCAACCUUCAAGGCGCCAUCUUGGAAGAAGAGAGCAGCCCUCACAGAUCCUGCCAGCACCUUGACCUCACACUUUCCAAACUCCAGAACUUUGAGAAAUAAAUGUCUGUCCUUUAUAAACUACCCAGACUGUGGUAUUCUGUCACAGGAACGCAAAUGGAUGAAGCUACC